UAGAAUCACCGAAGUUAAGCAACGUCGAGCCUGGUCAGUAUCUAGAUGGGUGACUGCUUGGGAAUACCAGGUGCUGUAAG